rnacentral:piRNA from 1 species
UCUCUGGGACGUAUUCUCAGACUGCCUU